rnacentral:lncRNA from 7 species
AUCUCUGGUUGGAGAUCCCUCCUUGGUGGAGUUUUCCUCUGUGAACCUGGAAUCUGAGACAGCUGCACCACUGGGGUUGUCCUGUUGGUCUGCCCACAAGGAACGUGGGAGCCCAGCAAUGCAGUGCAGCACACAGCCGCAGCCCAGAAGGAAGGGGAGGCUGCUGGCACUGCGAGCUGAGCAUCUUAUCUCCAAGGUAACAACACAACUCUGAGCUGCAGAUUUCUAUAUUGGGAAGCCUCAGGCCCUCGCUGUCAAGAAAGCAAAUGGGGGAAGCAGCUGUCCCUUCUGGGAGGGGCUGCACACACUGAGACGGUGCUGUGCUCAUUUGUAUUCAUACCUCUGCCUCCUGCAUGGACAGAUUUUAACCCAUUUUAACCCAACUAUUUGUGUUUUGUAACUCCAACCCAAAGCAACGCGUGUUGGUGCAAGGGGAGAGAUGGAGCACAGGUGACAAACACAGCCUGAGUGACCCAAUGCUUCAUUUCAGCCCGGAUCCAAGUCUGCUUCCACUUGGCCUUGGAACCUUUCAAUCACAGUUCUAAUGAGAACAGCCUGCUGAAAAAUGAAAUGGGAAAGAUAGCUCCAUUAGCUCCAUUCUUACAAUCAGGGCUUGGGAAAGUGGAGGGUUUCUGUGCUGAUGCUUUAUCUAAAGCUUAUCAGCAGGUUUAAGGUCAGGAUGCAAAACUAGGAAGUCUCCAUUACUGUAACAGAUUCAAAGGGAACUCCGUAGUGUGUAAGUGCAUCAAAUCCAUGCUAUAUUCAUCAAGGAUUAGGUAUGGGGAAUGGGAAAGAGCAAGGUCAAAAGUCCUUGAACCAUAACUGCAUUCAGAUGGCACACCCAUCUUCCAAAGAAACUCAACCUAUGGAAGCUGCAGCUGCUGCUCAGGCUUCUUGCUUAACUAAGAUGUUUACCUUCGUGGCAAUAAUGGCAAAAGCACCUUAGUGGGAAAUGGCUGCAAGGCUAUGGGGCUGCAGAGGAGCCUUCUGCUGUCACUCUGGGCUGCUCUUUAGGAAGAACUGACUGCUGUGAUGGUUUAUCCCCCAACUGCUUCAGAACUUGACCUCCUCCCAAACCACCUCUGGGGUUUGGUUC